AGAGUUUGAUCCUGGCUCAGGAUGAACGCUAGCGGUGGGCUUAACACAUGCAAGUCGAGGGGUAACAGGGGAGUUCGCUUCCGCUGACGACCGGCGCACGGGUGAGUAACACGUAUGCAACCUGCCGUUAACUGGAGCAUAGCUCCGAGAAAUCGGAAUUAAUACUCCAUAAUAUCUAUUUAUCGCAUGAUAGUUAGAUUAAAGCUUCGGCGGUUAAAGAUGGGCAUGCGGGACAUUAGCUUUUGGUGAGGUAACGGCUCACCAAGGCUACGAUGUCUAUGGGGUCUUAAAGGAUGGUCCCACACACUGGUACUGAGACACGGACCAGACUCCUACGGGAGGCAGCAGUGAGGAAUAUUGGGCAAUGGGCGAAAGCCUGACCCAGCCAUACCGCGUGCAGGAUGACGGCCCUAUGGGUUGUAAACUGCUUUUGUACGGGAAGAAAAAACUCUACGUGUAGAGAACUGACGGUACCGUACGAAUAAGGAUCGGCUAACUCCGUGCCAGCAGCCGCGGUAAUACGGAGGAUCCAGGCGUUAUCCGGAUUUAUUAGGUUUAAAGGGUACGUAGGCGGAAAAAUAAGUCAGUGGUGAAAUCCUGCAGCUCAACUGUAGAACUGCCAUUGAUACUGUUUUUCUUGAGUAUAGUUGAGGUGGGCGGAAUGUGUCAUGUAGCGGUGAAAUGCUUAGAUAUGACACAGAACACCGAUUGCGUAGGCAGCUCACUAAACUAUCACUGACGCUGAGGUACGAAAGCGUGGGGAGCGAACAGGAUUAGAUACCCUGGUAGUCCACGCUGUAAACGAUGAUUACUCGUUGUGUGCGAUAUACAGUACGCGACUGAACGAAAGUAUUAAGUAAUCCACCUGGGGAGUACGUCGGCAACGAUGAAACUCAAAGGAAUUGACGGGGGCCCGCACAAGCGGAGGAACAUGUGGUUUAAUUCGAUGAUACGCGAGGAACCUUACCUGGACUUAAAUGCAAAACGACCGGUGCCGAAAGGUGCUUUCCCUUCGGGGCGGAUUGCAAGGUGCUGCAUGGUUGUCGUCAGCUCGUGCCGUGAGGUGUCGGGUUAAGUCCCAUAACGAGCGCAACCCCUAUUGUUAGUUGCUAACAGGUAAUGCUGAGGACUCUAACGAAACUGCCGGUGUAAACCGUGAGGAAGGUGGGGAUGACGUCAAAUCAGCACGGCCCUUACGUCCAGGGCUACACACGUGUUACAAUGGCCGAUACAGUGGGCAGCUACUUGGCAACAAGAUGCUAAUCUCCAAAGUCGGUCUCAGUUCGGAUCGAAGUCUGCAACAAAAAAG
rnacentral:rRNA from 1 species